rnacentral:rRNA from 1 species
CCCUUAGAUGUCCGGGGCCGCACGCGCGCUACACUGAAGGAAUCAGCGUGGCUUUCUCCCUGACCCGAACGGGUUGGGAAACCCGUUGAAUCUCCUUCGUGAUAGGGAUUGGGGCUUGAAAUUGUUCCCCAUGAACGAGGAAUUCCCAGUAAGCGCGAGUCAUAAGCUCGCGUUGAUUACGUCCCUGCCCUUUGUACACACCGCCCGUCGCUACUACCGAUUGAACGGUUUAGUGAGGGCCUCGGAUUGGUCUCGGCCCGCUCUUUACCGGGCGGCGCCGUUGGUCGAGAAGACGCUCGAACUUGAUCGUUUAGAGGAAGUAAAAGUCGUAACA